GACGAACGCUGGCGGCGUGCCUAAUACAUGCAAGUAGAACGCUGAAGGAGGAGCUUGCUCUUCUGGAUGAGUUGCGAACGGGUGAGUAACGCGUAGGUAACCUGCCUGGUAGCGGGGGAUAACUAUUGGAAACGAUAGCUAAUACCGCAUAAGAGUAGAUGUUGCAUGACAUUUGCUUAAAAGGUGCAAUUGCAUCACUACCAGAUGGACCUGCGUUGUAUUAGCUAGUUGGUGAGGUAACGGCUCACCAAGGCAACGAUACAUAGCCGACCUGAGAGGGUGAUCGGCCACACUGGGACUGAGACACGGCCCAGACUCCUACGGGAGGCAGCAGUAGGGAAUCUUCGGCAAUGGACGGAAGUCUGACCGAGCAACGCCGCGUGAGUGAAGAAGGUUUUCGGAUCGUAAAGCUCUGUUGUAAGAGAAGAACGAGUGUGAGAGUGAAAAGUCACACUGUGACGG
rnacentral:rRNA from 1 species